rnacentral:rRNA from 1 species
AUUGAACGCUGGCGGCAUGCCUUACACAUGCAAGUCGAACGGCAGCACGGGAGCAAUCCUGGUGGCGAGUGGCGAACGGGUGAGUAAUAUAUCGGAACGUGCCCAGUAGUGGGGGAUAACUGCUCGAAAGAGCAGCUAAUACCGCAUACGACCUGAGGGUGAAAGGGGGGGAUCGCAAGACCUCCCGAUAUUGGAGCGGCCGAUAUCAGACUAGCGAGUUGGUGGGGUAAAGGCCUACAAAGGCAACGAUCUGUAGUUGGUCUGAGAGGACGACCAGCCACACGGGGACUGAGACACGGCCCAGACUCCUACGGGAGGCAGCAGUGGGGAAUUUUGGACAAUGGGCGCAAGCCUGAUCCAGCAAUGCCGCGUGCAGGAAGAAGGCCUUCGGGUUGUAAACUGCUUUUGUCAGGGAAGAAAUCCUCUAGGUUAAUACCCUUGGGGGGAUGACGGUACCUGAAGAAUAAGCACCGGCUAACUACGUGCCAGCCGCCGCCGUAAAAC